UACAGAGGGUGCAAGCGUUGUUCGGAAUUAUUGGGCGUAAAGGGCGCGUAGGCGGUGCGGUAAGUCUGUAGUGAAAUCUCUGGGCUCAACUCAGAGUCUGCUGCAGAAACUGCCGUGCUUGAGUGUGGGAGAGGUGAGUGGAAUUCCCGGUGUAGCGGUGAAAUGCGUAGAUAUCGGGAAGAACACCCGUGGCGAAGGCGGCACUCUGGGACGGUACUGACGCUGAGACGCGAAAGCGUGGGGAGCGAACAGG
rnacentral:rRNA from 1 species